rnacentral:rRNA from 1 species
CCUACGGGGGGCAGCAGUGGGGAAUAUUGGACAAUGGGGGCAACCCUGAUCCAGCCAUGCCGCGUGUGUGAAGAAGGCCCUCGGGUUGUAAAGCACUUUCAGUGAGGAAGAACGCCUGGUGGUUAAUACCCAUCAGGAAAGACAUCACUCACAGAAGAAGCACCGGCUAACUCCGUGCCAGCAGCCGCGGUAAUACGGAGGGUGCGAGCGUUAAUCGGAAUUACUGGGCGUAAAGCGCGCGUAGGUGGCUUGAUAAGCCGGUUGUGAAAGCCCCAGGCUCAACCUGGGAACGGCAUCCGGAACUGUCAAGCUAGAGUGCAGGAGAGGAAGGUAGAAUUCCCGGUGUAGCGGUGAAAUGCGUAGAGAUCGGGAGGAAUACCAGUGGCGAAGGCGGCCUUCUGGACUGACACUGACACUGAGGUGCGAAAGCGUGGGUAGCAAACAGGAUUAGAUACCCUGGUAGUC